AAAAUUUGAAUGGUUUGCAUUUUCAGGAUCACUUUCUUAACUUUUACAGGAUGCAGGAUUUCGAUGAUAUGCACGUGGCCUAUAGAGAUAAUGCUCAGAGAGAGCGCUACAUCGCUCUGUAUCAGCGCCCUAUGGCACCCACAUGUUAUCCUGAUCAACACUGUAUGGAGGCACUGGGUAUCGAGCCGAGUAUUCGGUUCCUUAGCCACCAGCUUCACUGGGACGAGUUUGCUAACGACUUGAGUAACACCUAUAGGAACCUGACAUUGGAG
rnacentral:lncRNA from 1 species